UGGGUGUGGCUCAGUGGUAGAGCACUUACCUAGCAUGUGUGAGGCCUGGGUUCGGUCCCCAGCACCGCAA
rnacentral:tRNA from 1 species